CGAAUGCCCUGUAUAUGUAUUGUCUAUUUUUAGUUGAACCCUGGGUUGAAUUGAAACAAUAGCUAUUGAUGACUUCGCAAAUGCUACAGUAUUGUAUGACCCUGGGUUGAUAAGCGCGGAUACCGACUCUGCCGCACGAGCAUGCUUUUGCGGCACAGUCGAUAGCGCGCUGGACUUCGGACUAGAAGGUCGGAGGUUUGAGACUCAUUUUUACCGGAAAUAUGGGCGGGUUCUGUUUAGGUUUUAUUGUGGGGAACUUCCGGUUAAGCAUUUCCGGUCAAUAGUUCGCAGCUAGCCUAGAUAACCAACAUACUUCUCACAACUUCCCAAUCAUGGAUUCACGCAAAACAGACAUUUUAUGUUCGAUGCAGACAACUGUGGUGAUGCAGAGUCAUGCCAGUGCCACCACAGCGUACAGAUGCUGAUACUCAAUGGGAGUUUCCAGCAUUGACUGAUCACCGCUACGUGUCAAGAGAACCAGUCAACAAGCCCACCUGCCACAAACAAACCCAAUGUGGUGGUGCAGAGCCAUUGACCCACACCAUCCAGAAUAAUGACACUAGCUCAGUGUUGUAUACUGCCCUAACUCUCAGUGUUUUCUUUGACCGUGUAGCAUUUCUGCAGAAAUUCUACACAGCUAACUUCAGGGUGAUCGUGCUGAACGCUUUGCUGUGUCCCAGGGAAUAGUGAGCAGAAUCCUUUCCUACUGGAUUGACACAAUGGAGGAGCACAAGGAUCUACAUUCCAUGGCUGCCGAGGGAGACGAUCCAGAACACAAUGCCUUAGUGCUUCAAAGAGAAGUUCCCCAACACCACUUGCAUCAUCGACUGCCCUGAAACCACUCUUCAGAAAGCACAUCAUCUCGAUUUCAGAGGGGAGGGUCAUACAGCCACUAUUUUCCAGCAAUACUCUGAAGUAUUUUCUCAAUGUGGACUCGUUAUGUUUAUUUCUCUUGCACAUGGAGGCAGAUGCAGUAACAAGUUAAUCACCCAAAACUCUGGCUUCCUGGAAUACCUUAGGCCUGGCGAUAAAGUUAUGGCAGACAGGGGCUUCACCAUCCGAGAUUUGCUGUAUGAGAGGAAGGUAAAUCUUGCCAUACCAGCCAUCACUCAGAAAGGAGGCCAGCUGUCUAACGAGGAUGUCACAAGCAUGAGAAGGUUAGCUAAUGUGCAUAUACAUGUUGAGAGAGUUAUCAGACGACUCAGGGGCAGUGGCGACCCAUCAUUAAGGGAAGGUGAGCCCCACGUUUAUUGCAAAAACAUAAAUAAAAAUUGGUGCUUGCCUGUUUUGCAUGUUA